rnacentral:rRNA from 1 species
GAUGAACGCUGGCGGCGUGCCUAAGACAUGCAAGUCGAACGGUAACAGGCCGCAAGGUGCUGACGAGUGGCGAACGGGUGAGUAAUGCAUCGGAACGUGCCCAGUCGUGGGGGAUAACGCAGCGAAAGCUGCGCUAAUACCGCAUACGAUCUAUGGAUGAAAGCGGGGGACCGUAAGGCCUCGCGCGAUUGGAGCGGCCGAUGUCAGAUUAGGUAGUUGGUGGGGUAAAGGCCUACCAAGCCGACGAUCUGUAGCUGGUCGGAGAGGACGACCAACCACACUGGGACGGGGACACGGCCCAGACUCCUACGGGAGGCAGCAGUGGGGAAUUUUGGACAAUGGGCGCAAGCCUGAUCCAGCAAUGCCGCGUGCAGGAAGAAGGCCUUCGGGUUGUAAACUGCUUUUGUACGGAACGAAACGGUCCUGGUUAAUACCUGGGGCUAAUGACGGUACCGUAAGAAUAAGCACCGGCUAACUCUGUGCCAGCAGCCGCGGUAA